rnacentral:ribozyme from 1 species
ACUCGUGCCGGCGAGUAUAAACAGGCAAUUAAGCCGGCAGCGUCCGCCUCCUAUGAGGCGGGGU